CUUUGAAGUGCAUCACACCUAUCCAAGCACUGUGCCCUUUUUUACAUUGCAAAUCAGCUCAGAAACACGCGUAAAGCAGGCUGAAUCCAAAUGCAACAAGCGGAAGUGUUCAGCAUGUCAUUGUCUCCAACAUGGUCUCACAUUUUCCUCAAGCACCCUCUGAUCCAGGAUGGAACUCAUAUUUAAUUUUAAGAUGGUGAGCUGGUCAGGUCCUGCUACAGUAAAGCAUCUUCAAACCAUGACACAUCCACCUCCGUACUUCAUAUUGUUCUUCUCCUAGAAGACUCAUGGGGCCAAAGAAGAACAACAGUAGUCUUGGUCUUUCUCUACAUUUUCUCUAGCAAAGUUCAGUCUUUCAUUUAUGUUUUCUUAGAAAGCAAGUGUUUCCUCCUUGCAUACCUCAAAUGGAAGCCAAAUGUGUGCAGUCUCUUUCUGAUUGUACAGCCAUGCAGUUUCAUACCAACAGUUGCAAUUGACUGUUGUAGGUCCUAUGAUUACAUUUUAGGGUUUUUGGUGACUUCUUUUAGCGUCUUACAGUCUGCUCUCUGGGUGAACUGUCCUGGAUUGCCAGACCUGGGCAUGUUGAGAUUUGGUUUGAAUGUGAUCCAAUUGCAGGUUAUUUCCUGUACAUUGGAAUGUUUUGAGACCUUUUUUUUAUCUUUUAUCAAACUCGUAACCUGCUACAACCUUCUUUCUUUCAAUACCACUUUGUUGUUUACUCUGACUUUAACAGUGACGUGCCAAUCCUAAUUUGAAAUACAGAGUAACAAGGUUCUAAUAAUGUACACCUGAUGUGAUACGCCUGUGUGUCAUUUUAUUCCAUUUUAAGUGGGAGUACAUGUUGGUUGUGUCAUAAUACAAUUUAUUUUCACAGAAA